GGUUCAUGGCGAGCUGAUGCAGCACGCCGCGUGCGGGAUGACGGCCUUCGGGUUGUAAACCGCUUUCGCCUGUGACGAAGCGUGAGUGACGGUAAUGGGUAAAGAAGCACCGGCUAACUACGUGCCAGCAGCCGCGGUGAUACGUAGGGUGCGAGCGUUGUCCGGAUUUAUUGGGCGUAAAGGGCUCGUAGGUGGUUGAUCGCGUCGGAAGUGUAAUCUUGGGGCUUAACCCUGAGCGUGCUUUCGAUACGGGUUGACUUGAGGAAGGUAGGGGAGAAUGGAAUUCCUGGUGGAGCGGUGGAAUGCGCAGAUAUCAGGAGGAACACCAGUGGCGAAGGCGGUUCUCUGGGCCUUUCCUGACGCUGAGGAGCGAAAGCGUGGGGAGCGAACAGGCUUAUAUACCCUGGUAGUCCACGCUGUAAACGGUGGGUACUAGGUGUGGGGUCCAUUCCACGGGUUCCGUGCCGUAGCUAACGCUUUAAGUACCCCGCCUGGGGAGUACGGCCGCAAGGCUAAAACUCAAAGAAUUUUGACGGACGAUGAUUUGACGGA
rnacentral:rRNA from 1 species